UGCAUUUGGCGGGAUCUGUGUCUCUCGCUGGUGCUGGCACAGGAGCUUGGGAUCUGUCUCCUCUUUCGCCUCCUGCACCUUGAGAGCCCUGGGCUACUCUGUCACAGCCCCUGUUGCCCUGCGAUCUGUAGGUCCUUGGGGACGCAUAGUUAAGGUGCCAGGACAUCCUGGAAGCUGGGAAAUGUUAGCAUUUCAUCAUAUCAAUGUGAAGAUUUCUUCCAGACCAUGGCUGGAGAAGGAAAGAAGGUGUGUUUUGCCUGAUUCAGGGACUAUAGAGAGAACCAAGUUCUGCAGGCCUGUCAUCUAAGUCUCAGCUGGGUGUCACAAACUCUGAACUGGAUUCCAAGGCUUUCAUGAAUGCACUUAUGUUUGCUGUGGCAGCUGCAUUAUGUCGUGGGGGAUGUGGAUGCAGAACCUCCCAUUCUGUCGUCUUGCUUAUGUUACUCUCCUUUAUGUUUCACUUUCUCAAAUGAAUGUCAAGCAGGUGAUUUUCAGAUUCAAAAGUUCUAAAAUAAAUUGCUCAAAUUUACACAUUAUGUAAGCUGUUAAUAAAAUUUCUUGUAGGUGCUACAUAUUUAUUAAAAUUUUUGGUUGUAAUUUUAAGCUCACUGUAGGCAGAAAGGAAUCAUUAAGAUUUCUAUUCUUUUUUAGUCUGUAUCUAAAUGACCAUAUAUUUUAAUUCCAAAUAUUUACUUUAUACUUCAGUAAUGCUCAUUGUAUUUUGCAAAAUUUAUAUUGUUC
rnacentral:lncRNA from 1 species